AUGAACGCUAGCUACAGGCUUAACACAUGCAAGUCGAGGGGCAGCAUUGGAGUAGCAAUACUUCAGAUGGCGACCGGCGGACGGGUGCGUAACGCGUAUGCAACAUACCUUGUGCAGGGGGAUAGCCCGUGGAAACGCGGAUUAAUAUUCCAUAGUCCAGCUAUAUCGCAUGGUAUAGUUGGUAAAGAUUUAUCGGCACAAGUUUGGCAUGCGUCUGAUUAGCUUGUUGGUAGGGUAACGGCCUACCAAGGCUACGAUCAGUAGGGGUUCUGAGAGGAUUAACCCCCACACUGGUACUGAGACACGGACCAGACUCCUACGGGAGGCAGCAGUGAGGAAUAUUGGUCAAUGGGCGGAAGCCUGAACCAGCCAUCCCGCGUGAAGGAAGACAGCCUUACGGGUUGUAAACUUCUUUUCUGUCAGAAGAAUAAGCUUGUCGAGACGAGUGAUGCCGGUAUGACAGGAAUAAGCAUCGGCUAACUCCGUG
rnacentral:rRNA from 1 species